rnacentral:rRNA from 1 species
AUUGAACGCUGGCGGCAGGCUUAACACAUGCAAGUCGAGCGAGCGGCGGACGGGUGAGUAAUGUCUGGGAAACUGCCUGAUGGAGGGGGAUAACUACUGGAAACGGUAGCUACUACCGCAUACCAUCAGAUGUGCCCAGAUGGCAUUAGCUAGUAGGUGGGGUAUGGGCUCACCUAGGCCACGAUCCCUAUCUGGUUUGAGAGGAUGACCAGCCACACUGGAACUGAGACACGGACCAGACGCCUACGGGAGGCAGAAGUGGGGAAUAUGGCACAAGGGGCGAAAGCCUGAUGCAGCCAUGCCGCGUGUGUGAAGAAGGCCUUCGGGUUGUAAAGCACUUUCAGCGAGGAGGCGUUACUCGCAGAAGAAGCACCGGCUAACUCCGUGCCAGCCGCCGCGGUAAUAC